UGUGUGUAUAUAUAUAUAUUUGUUUGUGUGGUGUAUAUUAACAAUGAUAUAAAUAUAGUAAAUAUCUCAUUAGACAUCAUAGCUCAGAAACUGGGGACCGUCAGCAACCAACUAAUUUCUCUUCUUGCAAUGAUCUUGUAUUUAGGGACUCUAUAAACAGUGACAGAAAUGUUUUGUUAUGCUUGGCCCAGACUGAUUUCAAAAGUAAAGAAGAAACAGUGAAACAAUAUAAAAGUGGAAUUGAAGGUCUAAUCCUCUCUAUCGUCGGCGGAGAAGCGUUUGAAGAGUCGUUAGGCUGAAAUGUUCCUCUGAUUGUUAUUAUUUGGUCCUGACAUCAGUCUGUAGCUUUGCCACAAAGCCUGCUGUGUUUGUUUUACCCAGAAUGUGUGUGUGUGUGUGACUGUGUUUGUGUGUGUCUGUGUAUUUCGGUGUAUGCGUGUGUCUGACUGCAUGUUGAUCUGGUGGUUGGUGUUGACAUGUAGACAGAGAAAACCGCUUCAUAUUAACCCUGGAUCUCGUCUUGGUCUUGGUUUCCUGGUAUCACCCCAGCCAAACAGGAACAGAACAGCCGUCACUGAUGGAUGUGAUGUGGAGCUCUGGCUGCCGGCCGGCUGGAGGGCGUCACUGCUGUGUUUCACAGUCGGGCUUUGUGGUGCGUCACCAGAGCAGUGGGAUCCUCCUGGGAAGGAUGGACACCAUGUUUAUCUUUAAUCCCGACACACGCCGAGAGCACGUCCUUAUGGGACAUCAUGGCCCGAGAGAGGGAACCAUGGGGGUGCAUUACACUGAGACUGGGUGGAGGGGAGGGGGAUUGGGUGGAGGGGAGAGAGACUGGGUGGAGAAGUAAGAGACUGGGUGGAGGAGUAAGAGAGUAGAUGGAGGAGUAAGAGACUGGGUGGAGGAGGAAGAGAGUAGAUGGAGGAGUAAGAGACUGGGUGGAGGAGGAAGAGAGUAGAUGGAGAAGUAAGAGACUGGGUGGAGGAGUAAGAGAGUAGAUGGAGGAGUAAGAGACUGGGUGGAGGAGGAAGAGAGUAGAUGGAAGAGUAAGAGACUGGGUGGAGGAGUAAGAGAGUAGAUGGAGGAGUAAGAGACUGGGUGGAGGAGGAAGAGAGUAGAUGCAGGAGUAAGAGACUGGGUGGAGGAGUAAGAGAGUAGAUGGAGGAGUAAGAGACUGGGUGGAGGAGUAAGAGAGUAGAUGGAGGAGUAAGAGACUGGGUGGAGGAGUAAGAGAAUGUCGGGGGUAAUGAGAGACUGGGUGGAGGAGGAAGAGACUGACGAAGGGAUGCAAUACACUAGAGAGCCCCAGACCAGACCAGACCAGGCCCGACCAGACCAGACCAGGCCCGACCAGACCA
ensembl:lncRNA